AGGGGAUUAAACAUAGAUUGCGACGGUCAGUGUUUACAAGAUCAUUAAAACUAAAUUCUUAAAAUUAAUUAUCUUUUUACAUAUGGUAGUUCCUGAAGCGGGCCUACAGGUACGAAUAACGGUUGACCGGGACAUUUGAAUUGGGCACGUUGAUACUGCUGCGGGCGUCGUUGUGUAGGCUGUACGCUGGUGUUGGUUAUACGCUGUUAUUGAGUGGUACAUGGUUAGACUAUCGACCGUCAAAAGUUGAGUGCAUUCAGAAAUGUUUUCUAAAGUCGCCGGAUGUUGCCAGACUCUUUCAGAAAGUAUUUGGGUCGUUUUGGAGGAUUCACCAACACGCACCUUUUACGUUCAGACACCAGAUUAGUCGCCGGAUAGUUCGCUUCUUUUAACAUACGCCUGUAGACCGUAAAACGACAGUGGUAUGUAUGAUUCAAACCACUUCUUACUUUGCGCC